rnacentral:rRNA from 1 species
UUGGAGGGCAAGUCUGGUGCCAGCAGCCGCGGUAAUUCCAGCUCCAAUAGCGUAUAUUAAAGUUGUUGCAGUUAAAAAGCUCGUAGUUGAAUUUCGGGAUUGACGUGAUGGUCAUGCCUUAAGGGGUAUGAACUGUUACUGUUGGUUUCUCACCUUCUGGAGAAACUUGAUGUCCUUUAUUGGGUGUCUUGCGGAUCCAGGACCUUUACCUUGAAAAAAUUAGAGUGUUUAAAGCAGGCAUUUUUGCUCGAAUACAUUAGCAUGGAAUAAUAGAAUAGGACGGCAUGGUUCUAUUUUGUUGGUUUCUAGGAUCACCGUAAUGAUUAAUAGGGAUAGUUGGGGGCAUUAGUAUUCAAUUGUCAGAGGUGAAAUUCUUGGAUUUAUUGAAGACUAACUACUGCGAAAGCAUUUGCCAAGGAUGUUUUCAUUAAUCAAGAACGAAAGUUAGGGGAUCGAAGACGAUCAGAUACCGUCGUAGUCUUAACCAUAAACUAUGCCGACUAGGAAUCAGACGAUGUUAAUUUUUUAAUGACUCGUUUGGCACCUUACGGGAAACCAAAGUGUUUGGGUUC